UACCACAGCCAUAUCACCCUGCAGCCCAAAACUGGUUACUCAGUGAAGCUAAGCAGGGCUGAGUCUGAUUAGUACCUAGACGGAAGACCACAUGGGAAAACUAGGUUCCUGUUGGAA
ensembl:rRNA 5S_rRNA 5S ribosomal RNA